rnacentral:lncRNA from 1 species
UCAGGUUCUUGACGAAUAAGUUGAAUGGGUCCUGUUAGUGUUGACUUGUUUAGUAUAAUAUGACCUAACACGACAAGACCCCGCCUAAUAUGACACGGUUGUCAGGAUACUAUUAGUUAUGCAUUAAGUGCUUCAUAGUUUGACUCUUCCGUUGAUUAGAGAGUCCCAACCUUUUCUAUUUCAAAAAAGGGAUCCCAACAAUGAAAAUUUUCAAAUUCAUUUUUGCCCUCAAAUUCUUAACGGUUCAUACAAAUACCACCUCAAAGGUAAAUAACAUGUAAAAUAAAGUACAAUGCAAUCAAAUAGCAGCAACUAUAAUUGUCAAUUGAAAAGAACGGAUAAGUGAACUUCUCAAGCUUGAAGUACCAAACCUGCUUCAAGGAGAUGGGAAAUGUCAACAUGCUAGAAACUUCAGGGGUUUUCACAAUUUCCUUCAUGAUUUCUCUCCAGUUCCUACAAACACUAGCACAAGCAACCACAUUCUGCCGAGGAAGCCAUGUACAAUCAGAUUCCUCAAUUCUCAUUAAAACAUCUCUCAAGAGCUCCGGCGGCAUAUUAUCCCAACAACUCUGCUUGAAAGCAUCAACUGGCAUCAAACUAUUCUGAAGCACCCUCUGGGACCUCGACCUCAACCCAUAACCAAAUUUCACAUCAAACCCUUUUCUAGAAAUGCUCCCAAAUUCAUCCUUCAUAUCCUGAAUUAUACUCUUAAAGGACAUCUUCGCUACCUAAUUAAGUAAUUAUGAAACUACAGGAAACCCACAAACAAAACUCCUAAUCUUGUCUAAUUUUUAUCACUUCAACAUUUACCAGUGAGCAUCAUAUCGUAGAAUUAUCCAUAAAUAGAAGCUAAAAAAGACAUUGCCAGAAUUCUGAAAGCCAAAGUUGCAAUCUUUGACGAAAGCAACAUAAAAUUCACAUCCAAUUAUCGUCCAAGCUGAAACUGCCAAGUAAUUCACUUCAAACUACUUUCCAAUAAUGAAUUUCAUAUUCACCCAAUUAGGUACACAAGUCCACACCACAAUCAACCAAUCUAAAAUUAAAAUCACCACUUUUCAACAAAAAUAAACUAAAAAAAUCAACAAAUAUCAACCUUCCUAUCCAACCCAUCAAAUAUCAGCACUUGUAUAGAUUUAUAAACAUAAAUGUAGAUGGUAGCACCAAAUAUCAUAAUUCAACCACUUUACAGAAACCAAAUAGAUCAAAUGGGUUUUGAAUAAGAAUAAACUAAAAUUCAAGAUUAAUAAGACUUGAAACCCAGCUCAUGUAAGGUUGAAGAGGGAAAGAGACGAUUGAAGAGAGAGAUUAGGGUAGGUUUUUGUGUCGUUGUGAUCUAUGUGAAACCAAGUGUAGGAGGAAUCAGUUUACACUUUACUAGUCUAGAAAAACUUUGCCCAAUUCGGAU